GUCUCUGGCUGCACCGCCCUGAACGCCCCGAUCUCAUCUGGUCUCUGAAGCUAAGCAGGAUCGGGUCGCCGUUUUUUAGCCCUUGGAUGGGAGUUGGAAUCU
rnacentral:rRNA from 1 species